UCACAGUCUUGAUAGAAAUAGUUUAUAUCCACACAAUCUCAUCUUCUUUACAAGUUCAAACUCAUACUAAACUUUGAGUAAUAUACAUAUGGCUUGAAGAUGAACACAGAAACCAAAACUAAAACACAUUAAAGUGAAAAACUCAGAUGUCUAAAAAUUGCAUAUAUGUAAUAUAUGUAAUGUUCAUGGUCAUGGCUAAAGGUACAUUUAGUUUCUAGCAGAGCCAAACUCUCAUGCUUUGCUGAUAAAGUAUGGGCUUCUGGGUCUUUCCAAAAAAGUUGCUGUCAAACACUAUGGCAGUCUCUCGCCAACCUUAAUUUUUGUCAAAAUAAUGGACAGAAUCCCACUUACUCAGACUCAAGGCAAAGGACUUCAAGUCUCCUGUAAGUAGCGGUGCGGUGGCAAUUGAGUAACUUGUAUUAAGACAGCUAGACUCAGACAGUUACUUAUAAUUUUUCAAAUUAGUUAAAAGUAGCAGCUACUUUUUUUUACAGAGUUUUCAGAUGCAGAAUCUCAGACAGCAUAAAUCAUCAGAUCCAUUGAAGUCUACUGGAAUUGAGGUAAUUUACAUCAGAUAAGAAUCUAAAUUAUCAUUGAAGAUACAGACUCACUACAGGAAUAUAAAAUGAGAAAUGCUGCCUAGUGGAUAUAGCAAAAAGUCUGGAAAAGCAUUUGAUCUGAUUGUGUCAGUCAGUCCAUAUGUUAAAAGAAAGGUGUGAUAGUCUUGGGAAUUCCUGACAACUUGUGGGUUUAAUUGUAAUUUAAAGUGCAGAUUAGACUCACCAUUUUGUAGCAGGAACAAGAUUAUAUCUAUGGAAUAGAAACACACUUCAAGAGUACCUCAGCCAGGAAUACUUUCAGCCUGGAAGAGCAGUUAGGCUUUUACUACAAACACCAGUUAUCACAGCAUUUUGAUAUAAAUCUGGUGUGUAUCCCAGUAAAAUCUCAUCUCAAGUCAAAGAAACUUGGGCUCUUUCAAAAGAGAAACCUCCUUCAGUCUAAAGGCAGAAAGUAGGAGUGGAGAAAGGAGGAUGGAAGGGGCUUUUCCUCCUUUCCACAAAACCAUAGAUAAAACAUAUUUUCUUCUGAUGCCCAUGAAAAAGGAAGAUAUGAUGGUCAAGUGCAGUUGGGAAUAGACCAGCAAAUGCUGUGCUGUGUUGCAAGGUUUCUUCUUGUGACCUUGUUGCAACACAAAGAAUAGCACCUGAGAUGUAGGACUCUAGUAGGAGAAGGCAAAAUUCAGCCUGGAGGUUGCUAUCAUCUCAUAAUGUUGUAUUUCGAAACCUCCUGUCAGUGAGAGUUGUCUGGCAGAGUUUUUGCCAGGGCAGAGACACACAUAGAUUCAAAGUUAAAGGUGAUUCUUAGAAACAUCUCCAUCUUAAAAGCAUUUCAAUACAGCAAUGGAGUUCCCAAGGCAUGGAAACACAGGACCACCCACCCCAGAAUUUCAGACAUAAGAUAUCGGGAAUAGUUUACAGUCUGAUUAUUUGCUUAUUCUGCUGGUUUUGUGUGGGGUAGAUCUAAUUUUCUUCAUAGUAGUGUGGCUUUUCGGGGGUCACUUGCGGCUUUCCCCCGUCCCUCCCCGGCCCCCUGGGACCCCUCCGGCUAGCUGUCCCCUCAAGGGACCGGGGUUUGCCGAGGUCCUGCUGCACUGGGCUUACCAGGCAGCAGCUGGGUCUGCACAGUCCGAGCGGCGGUGCGCCUCGGUCGCCGCAAGGAUUCGGGAUAAAGAGAUGAAGAGAGGUCAAUUGUGUGCAGUCCAGAGAGAUUGUAUUGCCUGAACGGUUGUAGGGCCAAAAGAUCCUGGGCUACUGCCCAGAUACAGUUUUAUACAGCAAAAUUAAGAGAUAAGGUCUAAACAAUAGAGACAGUGUCCAGCAUGGGCUCAUCAGAACCUCCCCAGGGGUCAGGUCCAAUGGGAACUGCUCAGGGGUGGGGAGAAGGGGGUUUACAGAAAAAUGCUGAAGCAAAACUUUCCCGAAAGAAUGGGGCAUACAUAAAUGUAUCUUUUCCUCAUACCUAAAUGUAUCUUUUCCUCAGUUUCCAAUUCUCAAGGCCUUUCUAAAACCCUUCCUCCACACUACCUCACCAGCGCGAUAGCAACAAUAGUAGCUGAUGUGCUGCUGUGUUUUGGAAUUGUGAUCAACACAGAGUUCAUAACAGAGAUUUUUUUGUUGCUAAGCAGAGCUUGCACAGAGCCAAGGCCUUUUCUGCUUUUCAUACUGCCAUGCUGCCAUCCUGCUUCCCUAUGCAGGGAUGUUGAGGGUGCCUGGGAAGCUGUGAGGAGACACAGCCAGGACAGGUGACCUCAACUGACUAAAGGGCUAUUCCAGACCACAUGGCAUCAUGCUCACUAUAUAAAGUAGGGGAAGAGGAGAAAAGGGGGACACCUGGAGUGAGGAGUUUAUUUUCUCAGGUCACCAUUAUGUAUGAUUAGGCCCUGCUCUCCCAGAGACAGCUGAACUCCUGCCUGCCCAUGGCAAGCAGUGAAUUCACGCCUUGUUUUUUUUUGCUUGCACACGCAGCUUUUCUUUCCCUGUUACACUGUCUGUACCACAGCUCAUCAGUUCUCUCUUUUAUCCUUCUGAUUCUUUCCCUGAUCCUGCUGGUGGAGCAGUGAGCAAGCAGCUGCCUGGAGCUUGGUUGCUAGCUGGUGUUAAACCACAACCAUGGAUUCCCAGAGUAGUUUAAGGACAGUCAAACAGUUACUCUGAUGUGAAGAUGAUUAGGAAGGAGUUACCCUUCAAUGACUCUACCAGUGAAACCAUAAGGCAGUCUGAUUAGAAAAAACUACUGAUAAAAAAGAAAAAAUAAUCUCUUCAAAAGUAAAAUAAUGUUCAGCAGCUUAGUGAGAAAUUGGCUUCAUCUGAAGAGAGGCUAAGCUCUGGAGCUACUGAUAUCAAUGGCAGCUCCCUCCUGGUCAAUGCUGCAAUGAGGAGGUGACCAGUGUUACCUAUGUGGCAGUGUUACUAAGGACACUACUGUGGUUCUUCCUUCUCUGGACUACUUGAAAUUAUGCAAUUUAUUAUCUUCUUCAAUAUGGGACAAGAAAACUUUCUUUGUGAUGUCUUUUUGUAAAUUAAAAAAAAAAAAAGUAAUAAUUUUAAACACAUCCCUUUUUUAUCAGUAUCAAAAGAGUUAAAGAAGUCUGGAGACUCGUAUAGGAUACCAAGGCCAACUUUGUACCAAAGACCUGCUGACAGGAAUUGCUAUCAGGUAUAAGGUUUAAGCCUGGAGAAAAUGUAACACAAAAAUUCAGAUGAUCUGUCAUAAAGAAAAAUGAGUGACAACAUGUGGGAUUUUUUAAAAUCAGAGGGUUUUGGGCAUGUUGCAAAAGGCAGGCCUCAGAGACAGCAAGCUGGCGAUUUAGAGCUAAGCAGUAGCUAUAAGAUUUGUCAGCAAAAAAAUUAUACAAGAAGUAGAAAGAAAAGACAAAUAGAACAAUGGUCUGUGUAUUAACGCUUGGGUAGAGUAACUCCCUAAGUUACAGAAAAGUAUAUCUAGUGAGAUAUUAAGAAAUUUUAAGCUUAAUAAUAGAGUUCUGUGCAUUGUAUCUUAAGACUUACAAGCAAGUAUAGUAUUCAAAACAAGCAAGCAUUAUUUUAACCAAAGGUAUGUGUGCUUAUAGUGGUUAGAUAAAAUUACUGUCUUUAUGCUUUUGCUUUGUGUGAUUGGUCAAAAAGCUUUUAAAGUAAGUUGUAACAUUAAGUUCUUAGUCUGCUGCCUGGGAUGAGAGUUGCUGGCCUCUUCCCAUUGUCAUAACCAUAGAACGAGACUGAUGCUAAAAAUUAAACAGCUCGAGAUGCAUUCCUCAGCAGUCCCGUCCCGUUUGUGAUUUGUACAUAGUCCACCAACCAGCAAUAACAGCAGAAAAACAAAUAUUCAGUUCUUGUUAGAGUCUACUUGGAAUGCUGAGCUCAUUGAAACAUGGUCCUUAACUUAUUUUAAAUUUCUUAUGUAAUUAUACCCUGUUUUCAAGUUCUUGUCACUGCACAGAGGUCCCUUUUGUGUAAGUUCGUAUUCAGGUCAGUUCAGAGAAGCUUCACAGACAUCAGAGACAAGACAUUGUUCUUCUGCCAAUUUGGUUUUGUCCCAUGCUGCAAGAAAGCUGAACUAGCCACUGUAAGGGAUAUUUGUGUCUUUUAUUGCUUGCAGAAAGGAAGUUUUCAGCCAAGGAAGGAUACCAUUUUAGUUUUCUGUGCAGAAAGAGGAACCGACUUGGUGUGUAAAUAAUGAUAAGGUAAUCUUGCUAAUUACUUCUGCAUUUUUCUUUUGAAGAACGAAAUACCACUUCACAAACAAAAGACAGAAUACAAGUUGGAAGUUUUGGAUAAGCUAAAAAAACAAGUGUCAAUAUGGACAUACCCUUGUUGCAUUUAAAAUCAUAUGAGCACAUAUGACUUAAUAAAGGAUCUUAAACUGUUAAUCCAGAAUGGGAUUCCACUUUCUGUACAUGACUACAGACAUGUAGUGAUCCAGAAUCACCAGAUAAACUAUUAAUGCAGAAGACUAUUGUUGAGAAACUGGAAUAAGCAGAACAAGAGUGCUACAAUUCCAUGUGUGGCUGGCUCUCUUCCGUGAACAUCGUUAGAAUGGAUUCUCAGGCAGUCUGGAUCCCUUGCCACACUACAUCAUUUACAACUUAAGAAAGGACAUAUCCUUUCUUAAACAGCUGCAGCUGCCCUUAAGUUCCAGUACAAAUGGUAGCCUCCACAGACAAAAAAAAUGGAAUAUGAAGUAAAUCCACAGGAGAGCUGAAGGAAGAACCAAAACAACUUUGCUCCCCAUCAAAGAUAAAACUAGAACAUCCACUUUGACCAUCCACUGGGCUGACCUGUUUUGUCAGAGAAGUCUCUGUGCUGUCAUGAACUAUUGCUGAGUUGAGCUACAAUACCUAUUUUAAGACAGGUAUCUCUUGAAGUUAAAACUAGAGAUGGAAAGCCCAUCAUAAUUUACUUUAAACUGUUUCAGUAGUUAAACGAUCUGUAUUUAGGCAAAAUCAUACCAGUCAGUCCCAAUCUGAUUUUGUUCAGCUUCCAACAUUCAGCAAUCAGAUCCUUUUAUGUCUGUCAACCAGAUGGAAAAGCCAGGUAUCAUUUCAUGGCAAAUACUUUUGAACUGCAGUCUAUACAUAGUUUUGCCUGAUAAAGAGGAAAAGCUUCCUUGUAUCAUGCCACAUGAAUCAAUGACUUUUCUGGCUUUUCUCUCAACCUUUCCUUAAUACUAAGUAUUCUUGAAUUCUAAACUGCAAAAAGCAAAUUAAAAAGAAAUUUUCAGUGCAAACAUAUAACCAGUAUUGUCUAUGCAAUCCCCAGGAAUUUCUUUUAGCAUAGCCAAGAUUUACACAAGGCAUUUUGACCAAAGUACCAUAUUUAAGAGUCCAUUCAUUGUCACCUCUCUUGACAAAUCUCUCUGCAUCUCUUCAUUCCUCCUUCCAAAUUCCCAAAUCAUAAGUUGUGAACAGAAAAAAAAAGGUAGAAAACCAGCAUCGUCAGUUCUUCUUAGGUCCAGCAAAACAUAAGUUUCUCAAGAUAGAAAGGCAACAGCAGCAUUAGCUUUGCAAUAACAUGACUGAUGAUUAGACUAAGGGAAUUGUCUGCAGACAUGGUUUUAUUCCCUUUUUUGUUACAGCAGUACAUGUGAAAAGAUUAUGCUAGACAGAGAAAAGGUAACAGCAGUGAUGAAUCUAAGGUAUAAGGCAUAUUUUAAAAUACUGGCUCAAAUUUUAAAAGUAGAGUCAAUUUAUAGCAUGGGGAUGUUUUAGCAUUACUCUGAGAUAUUGCAUAAGCAAGUAAUAUAACAGAACACUCUAGAGACGAUCAGAGCCAAAAUAUACAUGGAAACCCAGGACAACAAAUUAGAGGCUUAGAUUCACCUAAAACAAAAGGCUGUUGACUAGAUAAUUCUACUUUUAGAACAACUUGUUCAACUGGCCUUCAGUGGUUCCAUAUUUGGGUGAUUUCUCUGUUCUGAAGAUCUAGAAUUUGAUGUGUAGACUAAAUGUAAAGGUCAUAAAUACAAGAGUAAAAAGGACAUGCUUUCUCUGUUCACAAUUAUUUUACUUUAAUAGUUAUCCACAAAACACUUGUCUGUUUGCAUCCAACUUAUUAAAGCCAUCUGGUCUGUAUUAAUGACUUAUCUUUGUUGUUUAUUAUAUCUUCAAUCCUUAGGGUCAUCUAUGAGUAUCAUUAAUAAUUUUGUACAAUGCUGAUGUAAUUUAAAACAAGCAUUAAAUAACACAUAGCAAAAAAUAAUUCCUAAAAUAAUCCAAAUAUGCAUAUACUUGCUCAGUUAGGAUCCUGCAUUUACUGCUCUGUUUCUGGCUGCCAGUUACUCAAUAUUCUACUAAUCAGCAGGUCAUAUUGAUCACUGGAUCAAUAUCCAAUGGUAUAUAAAAAAGUGGUUUGUUCAGCAUUGCUUGCAAGAGCUGGCAUGACUCAAUGACAAAGGUGUUGACUGCUUCUUCCAGAAAGCAGUGACCUGCAGAGAGACAUGAAGAAGCAAGCUAUAAUUCAAUCAACUUUAAUUCUGCCACACCACAAAUUCCAGUAUAAAGGAUUUCUGCAAGAACAUCACAACAUGUGACAACAAAAAAGUAUUUAUUAGACAAAGUUUAACUGGGAUGACAGGGGACUAAUUCAGAUCUAGAACUUCCUUUUAUAUUACUCUCCUUGUUUCUCAUUCAUCCCACAAUUUUCUGCUUUAUGUGCAGGAAGUAGAACCUUCAUCUUGUCUAAGAAUUGUCAUUCUUCACUUUUUUCCUCAAGUGAACUUGAAACUGUUGAUCAUAAAAAGCUAGUAUUUUUUAGGUAUACUUCACACAAAAUUAUAGCUGUUAUGUGGUCUGAAUCACCACUGGAUAUUAAUAUUUAUAUACUAUUAUGAUUUCACUCAUCAAAGUAAGAUCUGUGCAAAUGGUACCACAAACAUUCUUGCUGAGAUCAGCAUAAACCAAACUGGUAAAUUUUGCAUAAUUGUCAUGCUGCAGAACACAAAGUGUAUUCCUGUAUGGACUGUAGUCUGAAACAUUCUUUUUCAGUUCUCAAGCUACUUUUAAACAGUUGCCUUCUGAAUGCUAAAAUUUCAGAAUUUCAUUGGCAGAUCUUUACAGAGCAUGUCCUGAAUGUUGCCAUGGUUAUACUCUUCAUUUAGUAAACAGUAUGGAAUAAACCCUCAUUCACAGGCAAUAAUGCAACUUAUACUAAUCCCCAGGUACACUUAAACUGGUUCCUUUUCAUUUAAACUCCUUAAACUCUGACUAAGCAGAUCGCAGGUUUCAUUUCCAAAUAGUAUAGGGGACACCAUGCCUUCUAAGAAGUGCCCAGACCUAGUAGCAAUUCUUCACUUCUAGGACCACCGCUGCAGACAAGACAACACGUUCUGAGCAAAGGGAGAAGUUGCCCUCUCCCCCUUAGCAGAUGUGAUGACUGCGACUCAUGAGUAUGGAAGAUGUCACACAGUAUCAAUUAUUGGAAGAGAAAACUGCAGCUUUUGCAAGUCCCAGAGCUAUUUAUGGAGGAUUUUCCUGAUGCUAUAAUCAAUUCCUGAUGCUAUAUACAAUUUCCCUAGUGAUAAAUACCAAUUAGAGGGUGGAGGUGGCAAGGAAUUGUGUUUUUGCAUUUAUUCCGCAAAUCUUACUCUGGUUCUGCCUUCUCUUCCUCACUUAUUCCACCCCUCAUAUCCUAGUGAUUUCUCAUUUUCUUUUGAAAGAAAAGACCUCUAGCUUUUUUAGUGAGCUUCAAAAGCAGUCAUUCAUCUGCGGCAAGCAAAAUUUUGUUUUAAAAGAAUCAAAGACUUUAUGUUUGCAGAGAUAAAUUGAAAAUCAGAGCAGCGUGCAAACCUGGUCAUCCAAGUGUGCACAUGGUUAGUUUUGGUGCCUGGACUGCUGUCCCGAAUGUGAAACCAUGCUCAGGCUGUGCUGCUGCUGCUUCUCAGAACCACUUUAAUCACAAGAACAAAAUUCUUUUGGUGAUGUCUGUAACAAAGCUCUCAGAAUCACAGACUAAAAUUACUGACUGGGAAGCAAUUCUGAGUUAGGAGAAUAUUCUUCCUAGAGAUAGUCUUCUGUCUUAGGCUGGAACACUAACACGACAACUGGACCUUUACUAUAAUUGGGGGAAUUCAGAGGCUUUGCCCAGGUCUUUGCCCAGAGGCUCCAUUUUUGGAACCACUAGAAAAUAUAUUUUACGUGAAACACCAGAAGAGAUUUCUACCCCUCCUGCUCAUGGAUGAUAACAUCUGCAGGGUGACUGAUGGAGACAUCUGCCUAAGUUUGCAGACACUGACUCAUUAACUCUUGUAGUGCUUGAACCACACCACACCACACACAGUGAGUGCAUCUAUUUCCCCGAAGCACCCCAAUACAGCCCAGCAGAAGACAGUGUCUGGCAAUAAGGCAGCUGUCCCAUGAGUCCUGCAUAAUUUAUUAAAGCAAAGAAGCGUGGGGACAAAAAUUCUUGGAACUCUUAAUACUCCCCUGGAAGAGCUCAAAACACUAAGUGUCCAGAAGUGUAAGACCACAUUGUGCCACUAUUAUUCCAAGUGUUGAAGUGCAGAGAGGUGAAUCUCUCAGCUCAUCUUAAUCCCUGGAGCAGGAAAAAAAAAAAAAAAAAAAAAAAAA
rnacentral:lncRNA from 1 species